UACGAAGGGGCUAGCGUUGUUCGGAAUUACUGGGCGUAAAGGGCGCGUAGGCGGCCUGCUGCGUCGGUGCUGAAAGCGCCCGGCUUAACCGGGCGAGGCGUGCCGAUACGAGCGGGCUGGAGCCUUGGCGAGGGUGGCGGAACUCCUGGUGUAGUGGUGAAAUUCGUAGAUAUUCGCAAGAACACCAGUGGCGAAGGCGGCUUACUGGACCGGUUC
rnacentral:rRNA from 1 species